GAUGAACGCUGGCGGCGUGCCUAAUACAUGCAAGUAGAACGCUGAAGCUUGGUGCUUGCACCGAGCGGAUGAGUUGCGAACGGGUGAGUAACGCGUAGGUAACCUGCCUCUUAGCGGGGGAUAACUAUUGGAAACGAUAGCUAAUACCGCAUAAAAGUCGAUAUCGCAUGAUAUUGAUUUGAAAGGUGCAAUUGCAUCACUAAGAGAUGGACCUGCGUUGUAUUAGCUAGUUGGUGAGGUAACGGCUCACCAAGGCGACGAUACAUAGCCGACCUGAGAGGGUGAUCGGCCACACUGGGACUGAGACACGGCCCAGACUCCUACGGGAGGCAGCAGUAGGGAAUCUUCGGCAAUGGGGGCAACCCUGACCGAGCAACGCCGCGUGAGUGAAGAAGGUUUUCGGAUCGUAAAGCUCUGUUGUAAGAGAAGAACGAGUGUGAGAGUGGAAAGUUCACACUGUGACGGUAUCUUACCAGAAAGGGACGG
rnacentral:rRNA from 1 species